rnacentral:rRNA from 1 species
CCCUAAUACAUGCAAGUCGAACGCGUUGGCCCAAUUGAUUGAUGGUGCUUGCACCUGAUUGAUUUUGGUCGCCAACGAGUGGCGGACGGGUGAGUAACACGUAGGUAACCUGCCCAGAAGCGGGGGACAACAUUUGGAAACAGAUGCUAAUACCGCAUAACAGCGUUGUUCGCAUGAACAACGCUUAAAAGAUGGCUUCUCGCUAUCACUUCUGGAUGGACCUGCGGUGCAUUAGCUUGUUGGUGGGGUAACGGCCUACCAAGGCGAUGAUGCAUAGCCGAGUUGAGAGACUGAUCGGCCACAAUGGGACUGAGACACGGCCCAUACUCCUACGGGAGGCAGCAGUAGGGAAUCUUCCACAAUGGGCGCAAGCCUGAUGGAGCAACACCGCGUGAGUGAAGAAGGGUUUCGGCUCGUAAAGCUCUGUUGUUAAAGAAGAACACGUAUGAGAGUAACUGUUCAUACGUUGACGGUAUUUAACCAGAAAGUCACGGCUAACUACGUGCCAGCAGCCGCGGUAAUACGUAGGUGGCAAGCGUUAUCCGGAUUUAUUGGGCGUAAAGAGAGUGCAGGCGGUUUUCUAAGUCUGAUGUGAAAGCCUUCGGCUUAACCGGAGAAGUGCAUCGGAAACUGGAUAACUUGAGUGCAGAAGAGGGUAGUGGAACUCCAUGUGUAGCGGUGGAAUGCGUAGAUAUAUGGAAGAACACCAGUGGCGAAGGCGGCUACCUGGUCUGCAACUGACGCUGAGACUCGAAAGCAUGGGUAGCGAACAGGAUUAGAUACCCUGGUAGUCCAUGCCGUAAACGAUGAGUGCUAGGUGUUGGAGGGUUUCCGCCCUUCAGUGCCGGAGCUAACGCAUUAAGCACUCCGCCUGGGGAGUACGACCGCAAGGUUGAAACUCAAAGGAAUUGACGGGGGCCCGCACAAGCGGUGGAGCAUGUGGUUUAAUUCGAAGCUACGCGAAGAACCUUACCAGGUCUUGACAUCUUGCGCCAACCCUAGAGAUAGGGCGUUUCCUUCGGGAACGCAAUGACAGGUGGUGCAUGGUCGUCGUCAGCUCGUGUCGUGAGAUGUUGGGUUAAGUCCCGCAACGAGCGCAACCCUUGUUACUAGUUGCCAGCAUUAAGUUGGGCACUCUAGUGAGACUGCCGGUGACAAACCGGAGGAAGGUGGGGACGACGUCAGAUCAUCAUGCCCCUUAUGACCUGGGCUACACACGUGCUACAAUGGACGGUACAACGAGUCGCGAACUCGCGAGGGCAAGCAAAUCUCUUAAAACCGUUCUCAGUUCGGACUGCAGGCUGCAACUCGCCUGCACGAAGUCGGAAUCGCUAGUAAUCGCGGAUCAGCAUGCCGCGGUGAAUACGUUCCCGGGCCUUGUACACACCGCCCGUCACACCAUGAGAGUUUGUAACACCCAAAGUCGGUGGGC